AUUGAACGCUGGCGGCAUGCCUUACACAUGCAAGUCGAACGGUAACAGGUCUUCGGAUGCUGACGAGUGGCGAACGGGUGAGUAAUACAUCGGAACGUGCCUAGUAGUGGGGGAUAACUACUCGAAAGAGUGGCUAAUACCGCAUGAGAUCUACGGAUGAAAGCAGGGGAUCGCAAGACCUUGUGCUACUAGAGCGGCCGAUGGCAGAUUAGGUAGUUGGUGGGAUAAAAGCUUACCAAGCCGACGAUCUGUAGCUGGUCUGAGAGGACGAUCAGCGACACUGGGACGGAGACACGGCCCAGACUCCUACGGGAGGCAGCAGUGGGGAAUUUUGGACAAUGGGCGAAAGCCUGAUCCAGCAAGGCCGCGUGCAGGAUGAAGGCCUUCGGGUUGUAAACUGCUUUUGUACGGAACGAAAAGCCCCGGGUUAAUACCCUGGGGUCAUGACGGUACCGUAAGAAUAAGCACCGGCUAACUACGUGCCAGCAGCCGCCGUAA
rnacentral:rRNA from 1 species